CAGCCGCCCGGGAAUACGGAGGGGGCUAGCGUUGUUCGGAAUUACUGGGCGUAAAGCGCACGUAGGCGGCUUUGUAAGUUAGAGGUGAAAGCCCGGAGCUCAACUCCGGAAUUGCCUUUAAGACUGCAGAGCUAGCAGGUGAGAGAGGUGAGUGGAAUUCCGAGUGUAGAGGUGAAAUUCGUAGAUAUUCGGAAGAACACCAGUGGCGAAGGCGGCUCACUGGCUCAUACUGGACGCUGAGGUGCGAAAGCGUGGGGAGCAAACAGGAUUAGAUACCCGCGUAGUCCCUGUCUCUUAUACA
rnacentral:rRNA from 1 species